AUUUGUUUAUUCCUGCACAGAGUAAAACUAUAUUAAAUGUGAAUCCCACAUAAAAAUAAAAUAAACAAUAUAAAUAAUAAAAUAUAUAAAUACAAAAGAGCAGAUAAAGAAUUGAGAGAAUUGCACACAGUAUGUAAAAUGCUGAAAUGCAGUAGUUGUACAGACAAUAAGGUGAUAAUGUAAGUCUAAUAUACAAUAAUAUAUUUAUUAACAUGAUACUGUAUAAUAUACAGUAUGUAUAAGGGAGCUUAAGUGAAUCAUACUGCAGCCACAGCGAGGAGCGAGGCGCCGUAUGAAAAACAGGAUUCGGUAUUUGGUUUUGGGCCUUCUGCCAAAUAAUCUCCAAAUUUAGUUUGUUUUGUAUUUUAUUUCGAUGCUUGAUAUCAGUUCUAGCAGCUGUGCUGAACUGCACUGGAUGAUUUAUUUAUUAUUAGUAUUGUUUAAUUCAAUAUUUUCAGUUGAUAAUUUCUCCUUCCCUCCACAGGACACUGAUUGCCCCUGUGCUGAUUGCUUUAGUGGGUGUGGCUCUUUCUGCACCAGUAAACGACGGCACAGAUAAUGAUGAAAGAGCACAGAGGUGGCUAGAAUUUACGAAUGGUAGGUGUUUGUUUAUUCCAAGCUUUUAAAUGAAAAUGUUUAAAAACUAAAUCUGAUACUUGAGUGAUUUACACCCAUAAUCCCACCUGUGUGUUUCUGUAUCAGGUGCCAACACUGUAGUUGAACCAACCCACAGCCCUGGAGACUUAGGUUAGUGCUGCUGUUAAUAACAGUAAUGUUUAAAGAACAUGUGUCUCAUAUUCAGACGAUUAGGCGCUGCUGAUUAAAAUAAACAUGCUGUAUAUAAAAAUCA
rnacentral:lncRNA from 1 species